rnacentral:rRNA from 1 species
CCUACGGGAGGCAGCAGUAAGGAAUAUUGGUCAAUGGACGGAAGUCUGAACCAGCCAUGCCGCGUGCAGGAAGACGGCCCUACGGGUUGUAAACUGCUUUUGCAGGGGAAUAAACCUUCUUACGUGUAAGAGGCUGAAUGUACCUUGAGAAUAAGGAUCGGCUAACUCCGUGCCAGCAGCCGCGGUAAUA